UACGUAGGCAGCAAGCGUUGUUCGGAAUUACUGGGCGUAAAGAGUGUGUAGGCGGUGCUCCAAGUCUGGUGUGAAAUCUCCCGGCUUAACUGGGAGGGUGCAUUAGAAACUGGAAUGCUAGAGGAUGGGAGAGGGAUGCGGAAUUCCAGGUGUAGCGGUGAAAUGCGUAGAUAUCUGGAGGAACACCGGUGGCGAAGGCGGCAUCCUGGACCAUUACUGACGCUGAGUGAGCGAAAGCCAGGGGAGCAAACGGG
rnacentral:rRNA from 1 species